rnacentral:rRNA from 1 species
GAUGAACGCUGGCGGCGUGCCUAAUACAUGCAAGUCGAGCGAACAGACGAGGAGCUUGCUCCUCUGACGUUAGCGGCGGACGGGUGAGUAACACGUGGAUAACCUACCUAUAAGACUGGGAUAACUUCGGGAAACCGGAGCUAAUACCGGAUAAUAUAUUGAACCGCAUGGUUCAAUAGUGAAAGACGGUUUUGCUGUCACUUAUAGAUGGAUCCGCGCCGCAUUAGCUAGUUGGUAAGGUAACGGCUUACCAAGGCGACGAUGCGUAGCCGACCUGAGAGGGUGAUCGGCCACACUGGAACUGAGACACGGUCCAGACUCCUACGGGAGGCAGCAGUAGGGAAUCUUCCGCAAUGGGCAAAAGCCUGACGGAGCAACGCCGCGUGAGUGAUGAAGGUCUUCGGAUCGUAAAACUCUGUUGUUAGGGAAGAACAAAUGUGUAAGUAACUAUGCACGUCUUGACGGUACCUAAUCAGAAAGCCACGGCUAACUACGUG